rnacentral:rRNA from 1 species
AACGCUGGCGGCAUGCCUAACACAUGCAAGUCGAGCGGGGAAAGGUAGCUUGCUACCUAACCUAGCGGCGGACGGGUGAGUAAUGCUUAGGAAUCUGCCUAUUAGUGGGGGACAACAUUCCGAAAGGAAUGCUAAUACCGCAUACGCCCUACGGGGGAAAGCAGGGGAUCUUCGGACCUUGCGCUAAUAGAUGAGCCUAAGUCAGAUUAGCUAGUUGGUGGGGUAAAGGCCUACCAAGGCGGCGAUCUGUAGCGGGUCUGAGAGGAUGAUCCGCCACACUGGGACUGAGACACGGCCCAGACUCCUACGGGAGGCAGCAGUGGGGAAUAUUGGACAAUGGGCGAAAGCCUGAUCCAGCCAUGCCGCGUGUGUGAAGAAGGCCUUUUGGUUGUAAAGCACUUUAAGCGAGGAGGAGGCUACUUAGAUUAAUACUCUAGGAUAGUGGACGUUACUCGCAGAAUAAGCACCGGCUAACUCUGUGCCAGCAGCCGCGGUAAUACAGAGGGUGCGAGUGUUAAUCGGAUUUACUGGGCGUAAAGCGUGCGUAGGCGGCUUUUUAAGUCGGAUGUGAAAUCCCUGAGCUUAACUUAGGAAUUGCAUUCGAUACUGGGAAGCUAGAGUAUGGGAGAGGAUGGUAGAAUUCCAGGUGUAGCGGUGAAAUGCGUAGAGAUCUGGAGGAAUACCGAUGGCGAAAGGCAGCCAUCUGGCCUAAUACUGACGCUGA